ACGAACGUUGGCGGCGUGGAUUAGGCAUGCAAGUCGAACGAAUCCCACCGCCGUAGCAAUACGGUGGCGGGGGAAGUGGCGAAAGGGGCAGUAAUGCGUGGGUAACCUACCCCGGGGACGUGGAUAGCCUUCCUAACGGAAGGGUAGUACACGGCGAUCUGGUUGGGAGGCAUCUCCUGUUCAGGAAAUGAAUCUCGCCUCGGGAGGGGCUCACGUCGUAUUAGCUUGUUGGUGAGGUAACGGCUCACCAAGGCGAAGAUGCGUAGCGGGUGUGAGAGCACGACCCGCGCCACUGGCACUGAGACACUGGCCAGACUCCUACGGGAGGCUGCAGUCGAGGAUCUUCGGCAAUGGGCGCAAGCCUGACCGAGCGACGCCGCGUGUGCGAUGAAGGCCUUCGGGUUGUAAAGCACUGUCGAGGGGGAGUAAGCCGAAAGGUUGAACUAUCCCUGGAGGAAGCACGGGCUAAGUUCGUGCCAGCAGCCGCGGUAAGACGAACCGUGCGAACGUUGUUCGGAAUCACUGGGCUUAAAGGGCGCGUAGGGCGGGUGUGCAAGUCUGCGGUGAAAGCCUCCAGCUUAACUGGAGAAGUGCCGUGGAUACUGCUCAUCUUGAGGAGGGUAGGGGCAUCUGGAACGGUCGGUGGAGCGGUGAGAUGCGUUGAUAUCGACCGGAACUCCGGUGGCGAAGGCGAGGUGCUGGACCCUUUCUGACGCUGAGGCGCGAAAGCCAGGGGAGCAAACGGGAUUAGAUACCCCGGUAGUCCUGGCCCUAAACGUUGAGGACUAGGUUGUGGACUUAACAUGGGUUCACAGCCGGAGCAAAAGUGCUAAGUCCUCCGCCUGGGGAGUAUGGUCGCAGGGCUGAAACUCAAAGGAAUUGACGGGGGGCCCGCACAAGCGGUGGAGCAUGUGGUUCAAUUCGACGCAACGCGAAGAACCUUACCUGGGCUCGAACGGCUGGUCAACGAUCGUGGAAACACGGUUACUCCGCAAGGGGGUCCAGUCGAGGUGCUGCAUGGCUGUCGUCAGCUCGUGUCGUGAGAUGUUGGGUUAAGUCCCGCAACGAGCGCAACCCUUGUCCUGUGUUGCCAACCCGCAAGGGGGGACUCGCAGGAGACCGCCAGCGAUAAGCUGGAGGAAGGUGGGGAUGACGUCAAGUCCUCAUGGCCUUUAUGUCCAGGGCUACACACGUGCUACAAUGGCCGGUACAAAGCGCAGCUAAGCCGCGAGACGGAGCCAAUCGCAAAAAAACUCGUCUCAGUUCGGAUUGGAGUCUGCAACUCGACUCCAUGAAGCUGGAAUCGCUAGUAAUCGCAGAUCAGCAUGCCUGCGGUGAAUACGUUCCCGGGUCUUGUACACACCGCCCGUCACAUCACGAAAGUGGGUUGUACUAGAAGUCGUCGCGCCAACCCGUAAGGGAGGCAGGCGCCCACGGUAU
rnacentral:rRNA from 1 species